rnacentral:lncRNA from 1 species
GAAAGAGGUUCGUUACGAGGACAAGGCAGGGCCCUCGUUCAAAUGUUGGCUAUGAUUUGCAAACCUUCCCCAUGAACCAUGACCUUUUUUUCCACUAUUAGUCCUACACAGGCAUGAGGGACAGGACCACGAGCCCCCCAGUGAUAAUCAAUCCAUGGGGUUUCGUGCUGCAGGUGCAGGGGGGGCAUUAUGUGAUGUGGCAAAGGCAGGGCGCUGGGCUCUCAGCGUUUGUCUGGCGCCGCUGCCCUGGGACCUCCCGCUCUGGGCUCCUGGGUGCCAAACGCGACUGGCCUGCAGACAAAACGACAGCAGCCUCCAGGAUGUGGAGAGGGAGCGAGGCUGUGCUGGGAACGGGCUGGGAAACAGGAGCUGGUCUUGUGCUGGGUGAUGGGGACUGACAGCUCUGGAGAAGAGAGACCCAAAGGGCUGCCGGCACAGCUCUGCAGCCACCAGCAUCCCUGUGCACCCCUUGCACCAGCCCCUUGGCUUAGCUGGAGGAAAUCGCCCUGGCAGGGUGAGAGCUGGCGAGCGCUGCUGCGGGAUAUUGUCCCCAGGUUCAGAUCUGGAGGCCAGCAGGCGCGUUCAGAUGUGACGUGGGGUGUUCAGGGGUACAGGAAGGGCUGUGCACGGCUGUGAUUGGUGAGACGGGGCUGUGGCUCCUGUGCUUAAAGCCUUGUAUUACUUUCACUGCAAGCAGAUGAGGAAGUGUCAUAGUGCUGUGCAUCCAGGACACACCGAGCCUUGACGAUGCAGCCUCUCCAGCGUGCCUGCCUGCUCCUCCUGCUUGCUCUGCUUGCCCUCUGCUUGCCCCUCGGCUGGGCGGAGGUCAUGACCACAAAGGGCAUGACCAGCCCCCACGGCCAACCAGCCAGCCUGGCCACCUCGUGCUGUGGCCCAGCCUUUAUCUCCCUCAUGCUGGGGCUGGCUGCAGCUUUCCUCCUCCGGAUGUGCUGAGCCUCGGGGCUGACGGCACCCAAGCGCCCUGGCCUCCCGGUCCGCCCUGCAGAGAGACCUCCAGGACGGUGGCCCUGGGCCCUCCUUGGACACUCGCAACGAAGACCGGCCAGCAUGAUGCCAUCGCUCCCACCUGCAAGUCCCUCUCCCCAGCCAGCCGGCUGCUCCGUGCUCACUCCCCUGGCCCCACAUGGGCCCCUCAGGCUGUCGCGCUGCACUCCAGCUCCCCUCGCCCCAGAGUAUCGGCACCAGAUGAGGGCAGCCGCCCCGGUGGGAUGGACCGACGCCGCAGCGACGCUUUGCAACAUGAUGGCGAAGCUGCCCUGGCUCCGUGCGCCCCAGCUGGGAGCAGGCAACCCACCCUGGUUCGGGAGCAGGCGUGCUGCUGAGGCUUUGAGAAAUAAAACAUUGCUAUAGUGGCUGUGGUUCUGCCUC